rnacentral:miRNA from 10 species
UAUUUUUCUCAUUACCACAACAC